rnacentral:rRNA from 1 species
AGACACGGUCCAGACUCCUACGGGAGGCAGCAGUGGGGAAUAUUGGACAAUGGGCGCAAGCCUGAUCCAGCCAUACCGCGUGGGUGAAGAAGGCUUUCGGGUUGUAAAGCCCUUUUGUUGGGAAAGAAAUCCAGCCGGCUAAUACCUGGUUGGGAUGACGGUACCCAAAGAAUAAGCACCGGCUAACUUCGUGCCAGCAGCCGCGGUAAUACGAAGGGUGCCAGCGUUACUUGGAAUUACUGGGCGUAAAGCGUGCGUAGGUGGUCGUUUAAGUCCGUUGUGAAAGCCCUGGGCUCAACCUGGGAACUGCAGUGGAUACUGGGCGACUAGAGUGUGGUAGAGGGUAGCGGAAUUCCUGGUGUAGCAGUGAAAUGCGUAGAGAUCAGGAGGAACAUCCAUGGCGAAGGCAGCUACCUGGACCAACACUGACACUGAGGCACGAAAGCGUGGGGAGCAAACAGGAUUAGAUACCCUGGUAGUCCACGCCCUAAACGAUGCGAACUGGAUGUUGGGUGCAAUUUGGCACGCAGUAUCGAAGCUAACGCGUUAAGUUCGCCGCCUGGGGAGUACGGUCGCAAGACUGAAACUCAAAGGAAUUGACGGGGGCCCGCACAAGCGGUGGAGUAUGUGGUUUAAUUCGAUGCAACGCGAAGAACCUUACCUGGCCUUGACAUGUCGAGAACUUUCCAGAGAUGGAUUGGUGCCUUCGGGAACUCGAACACAGGUGCUGCAU